rnacentral:rRNA from 1 species
GACGAACGCUGGCGGCGUGCCUAAUACAUGCAAGUAGAACGCUGAAGGAGGAGCUUGCUUCUCUGGAUGAGUUGCGAACGGGUGAGUAACGCGUAGGUAACCUGCCUGGUAGCGGGGGAUAACUAUUGGAAACGAUAGCUAAUACCGCAUAAGAGUAGAUGUUGCAUGACAUUUGCUUAAAAGGUGCAAUUGCAUCACUACCAGAUGGACCUGCGUUGUAUUAGCUAGUUGGUGGGGUAACGGCUCACCAAGGCGACGAUACAUCGCCGACCUGAGAGGGUGAUCGGCCACACUGGGACUGAGACACGGCCCAUACUCCUACGGGAGGCAGCAGUAGGGAAUCUUCGGCAAUGGACGGGAGUCAGACCGAGCAACGCCGCGUGAGUGAAGAAGGUUUUCGGAUCGUAAAGCUCUGUUGUAAGAGAAGAACGAGUGUGAGAGUGGAAAGUUCACACUGUGACGGUACCUUAACAGAAAGGGACGGCUAACUACGUG